CCUGGCAUUAUGGUUGAAGUAUGCACAUCCCCCCAUGGGCUCCAGUACAGAAGACUUGGUCUCCCACUCUGCGCUAUUUGGAAGGGAUAGAAAUUAGGAGUUGGAAGAAAUCAGUCUCCAGAGAGGAAACUUUGAAGAUUCUGCAGUACCUCACAAGCCUGCUCAUGUAAAGUGAACCCAGCUGACAGAAGUCUCAAGUCCUCUGUUCUGGUUUAACUGUAUGCCUCACAUACUAGGAUAUUCGAAUAAAAGUGGGAAGUCUGGUAAGAGAACGGAGACAAAAUCAAAUUUCAUACAAAGGACUUGAAGCUAGUGGGCCAUUAAUUUGCUCUCUUUCUUCUAAUUAUUAUUGAGCUUUUGACAGAAGAACUUUAUAAAGAGCCACCUCUUUGAUAAACUCAACUCUUUUUCUUCAA